GACGAACGCUUUCUUCUCUCCUAACACAUGCAAGUCGAACGGAGCUGAGAGAAGCUUGCUUUUCUUAGCUUAGUGGCGAACGGGUGAGUAACGCGUGAGUAACCUGCCCUGGAGUGGGGGACAACAGUUGGAAACGACUGCUAAUACCGCAUAAGCCCACGAUCCGGCAUCGGAUUGAGGGAAAAGGAUUUAUUCGCUUCAGGAUGGACUCGCGUCCAAUUAGCUAGUUGGUGAGGUAACGGCCCACCAAGGCGACGAGUGGUAGCCGGACUGAGAGGUUGAACGGCCACAUUGGGACUGAGACACGGCCCAGACUCCUACGGGAGGCAGCAGUGGGGGAUAUUGCACAAUGGGGGAAACCCUGAUGCAGCGACGCCGCGUGGAGGAAGAAGGUUUUCGGAUUGUAAACUCCUGUCGUUAGGGACGAUAAUGACGGUACCUAACAAGAAAGCAAAGGCUAAAUACGGG
rnacentral:rRNA from 1 species